CCUUCGGGUCACUUCUUUGUUUAUUUUAUUUAUCACCUUUUCUUUUCUUUUUAUAGACUAAACUUUUAUUUUACGAAAUAAAUUGGAAAUCAAGUACCACUGGAGUCAGGUGGUGCCGAAUACGCAUGCGCGAAAUUUAAUAAAAAAUUAAAGAACUUACUAUUGAUUUUCUAAUUUUGUUUUUAUUUAUUAAAUACUUUCUAUAAUUUCGAAUUCCAGGUAAUUAUUAGUUUAGAAAAUUCUAGAAAUUUCAAUGAGAAAUUUCUUGACUUUUAAAUAUUUGAAUACGAAUAUUUUUUAGUUGUGUCCGUAAAUAAAUUUAACAGAAUAUUCUAUAUAAUUCGCAAAUCGUCUAGAAUAUUCUGGAAAAUUCUAAAACAUUCUAAAGCUUUCCGGUAUUUUAGAAAAUUCUAGAUUUUUCCAGAAUAUAAAUAAUUAAAGAAUCAUGAGAUUGAAAUCAGCAAACAUAGUUUUCAAGUUUUUAUAAAUAAAUGACACAUCAUUACUAGGAAUAAUUUUUUUACUUUUUUUUUAAAUAAAAAAUCAUAUCAAUAAAAAAUGACCUUACUUUGUAUCAAGACUCGAAUAAUUAUGAUACUGAAUGUAGCAGACAUGAUAUUUUUUAAAUUUAUAUGAGCUAGUUGUAAAGUAAAAUUUUUUUGAAUUUGCACAAAAAAAUUUUUAUAAGUUUUUUAUGUGCACAAUUUUUCACUUUUAUGAAUUAUCGUUUUGAAUUCAAAAAAUUAUGAGACAUCAGUGUCAUGUUUAUUUCUUUUUAAUUGUUAAUUUAUAAACUAAUAUUUUUCUCACAUCUGCCAGAUGCAGACUCACAGGAAAUAUACAAGGAGUUGAUGAAAAGGAAAUAAAUAAAGCAUUUAUAUAAAUACAAUUGCAAUAUGUUUUUAUUAUUUUAUUUUCUAUCAUAAUACUGUAUAACAUACAAGAAAUGCACUUUAGUGAAACCUACAGAAGAGAAUCUGAAUGUAGAGCAAUAUUUUAAUUACUUACAGUGUGUUAAUUUAAUUAUCAAUAAUUCAAAAUUAUUAUUAUUUUUAUUUUACUUUUAUGAGGACUUUGCAAUUAACGAGUUGUCUCCCUUAAUUUAAAUUUCUUUUCUUUAAAUAUUUAAUAUUUUCUUUUUUUCUUUAUUAUCAAGUUAAAAAAAUUAUAUCGAAGGCGAUGACGACUACACUGGGUGCUCCUUCAUUAAUUUAAAAAUUUAUUUUUUUUUUCCCUACCUCAAAUUUUUAGUUUUAUUUUUAUUCAUUAACGUCUUAAGGACUGAAUGAAGCAGUAAGACCGUUAUACCAUACAUUUAUAUAUCACGUUAUUCUCUUACAAUGUCAUGGACAGAAAAUAAAUGAUUAUUUUUUUUUUGUUAAUUUAUUUAAUUAUCUGCCCCCUGCUUAUUUAUUCUUACAAUCCAUUUUUAAAUAUUUUAAAUUCAUUGAAUUAUUUUAAUGCAAUAACUAACUCGAUCGGAAUAAACAUUCGGCUAACGACCAGGGAACGGCUUCUUGGUACUCUCGUUUUAUUUAAAUAUAUAUCACAAACUAGUAUCAAAUAUAAAACAUAUACAAGCCUGCUAAAUUCGCCUGAUUAAAUUCAUAUAAUUUAUUUUUAAUUAUUAUUUUUUUUUUUUUAAUUUUCCUUUAUUUAGAAUAAAUAUUUUUUUAAAAAAAAUUAUCCAUUUAAUUCCAUUGAAUUUUGAGGAAAUAAAUAAAUAUGCACACAUUGAGAUACUUGUAUGUGAUAAUAAUAAUAAUAGUAAUAAUAAUAGUGUAAUAAAUGAUUUUGACUAGAGUUUCGAUGAGUUUUAUCUAUGAAAAUAUUGAAAAUACUUUAAUAGAAAAAAAAAAAUUUCAUUUAAAAUUUUUUUUUUUUACACUGUAAAUUUAUUUAAUUAUUUGUUAGUAAAAAUAAUACUAAUUAAUUAAUAAAUCAAUUAGAUUAAUUAAAUAAAUCGCGAUUUACUGAUAACGAGAUGCUGGAGCAUUAAUAAUGGAUUUAAAAUUCCAUAAAUGAAUAAAUAGUUACAUUAUAUAUAUUUAUAAAUAUAAAAUAACCGGCGUGUCACAUUCUCGAGAAAGGUAGGUGUUAAUUAUUAAGCAAUUAAAUAUUUAAUAAUAAUUAUAGUCAAUUUUUCUUUGUAUUCGAUACAUUAAUAAUUUAAUUAUUAAUACUUUGAAAGUUAUUCAUUUAAAAAUAAAAAUAAAAAAAGAAAUA